CCUACGGGGGGCAGCAGUGGGGAAUGUUGCGCAAUGGGGGAAACCCUGACGCAGCAACGCCGCGUGAGGGACGACGGCCCUCGGGUUGUAAACCGCUUUCAGUGGGGACGAGGGUGACGGUACCCACAGAAGAAGCCCCGGCUAACUACGUGCCAGCAGCCGCGGUAAUACGUGGGGGGCGAGUGUUAUCCGGAGUCAUGGGGGGUAAAGCGCGCGUAGGCGGCUGCCUAAGCGGAACCUAAAAUCUCGGGGCGCAACCCCGGGCCGGGUUCCGAAAGGGGCGGCUCGAGUGCGGUAGAGGCAGGCGGAAUUCCCGGUGUAGCGGUGAAAUGCGCAGAUAUCGGGAAGAACACCGAUGGCGAAGGCAGCCUGCUGGGCCGUCACUGACGCUGAGGCGCGAAAGCUGGGGGAGCGAACAGGAUUAGAUACCCGGGUAGUC
rnacentral:rRNA from 1 species